rnacentral:rRNA from 1 species
GACAGAGGGUGCGAACGUUGCUCGGAAUUACUGGGCGUAAAGCGCGUGUAGGCGGACGCGCAAGUCAGGUGUGAAAUCCCUGGGCUCAACCCAGGAACUGCAUCUGAAACUGCAUGUCUGGAGUGUCGGAGAGGGAAGCGGAAUUCCUGGUGUAGAGGUGAAAUUCGUAGAUAUCAGGAGGAACACCGGUGGCGAAGGCGGCUUCCUGGACGAUUACUGACGCUGAGACGCGAAAGCGUGGGGAGCAAACAGG